rnacentral:rRNA from 1 species
UACGAAGGGGGGCUAGCGUUGCUCGGAAUCACUGGGCGUAAAGCGCACGUAGGCGGAUUUUUAAGUCAGGGGUGAAAUCCUGGAGCUCAACUCCAGAACUGCCUUUGAUACUGGGAAUCUCGAGUCCGGGAGAGGUGAGUGGAACUCCGAGUGUAGAGGUGAAAUUCGUAGAUAUUCGGAAGAACACCAGUGGCGAAGGCGGCUCACUGGCCCGGUACUGACGCUGAGGUGCGAAAGCGUGGGGAGCAAACAGGG